GGCAUUCUCAUGGGAGACAAUUACAGGCCUGGGACAGGUGCUUACAGUGGGGCAGUUCUUGCCCUGCAAGUGGUAAUGAUUGUGUCGCUGAUUGAUUUGUGGUGGGAGGACUAAAGUCUCCUCUAGCCGGGGUGAGCACUUGGUUUGUCUGUGCCCAGCUGACCUGGAAGGCAGGGAUAGUCUUAUCAGCUCAUGAGGUAUUCACAGGGAUUUUGGUAGCCUGGACUGCUAUAUGCACCUCUGGCAGUGGUUUUUGUUAGGAGAGCCAGAUGGUUUGUGUGAACUAAUUAUGGAACUAGGGACUGGUCAACUUAUUUUGUAGACUUAUAACAUUUACCUUGUUUAACUUUUAAAGUUACUUUUUGCGUAUGACCGUCAAACUUUUUCAUGUAUUCAUUUGUUUUUCUUUGUUUUUUAAUGUUUCAGGUUGUCAAAGUUGUUGUGUUUAUUUUGCAACCCUCUUAUAUGCUGUGUUGGCUUUCUGUUUUUUUUUAGUUUUGCUUGUGGUUAGGUUUUCUUUUUUGUUGAAAUUCAUUCAUUUUUUUUGCUUGUAUUUGCUUGACUCUAAAUUUUGUUGAAUCCACGCUCCUAUUUCUUUUGACCAGCAAAGUUUCAUUGGCAUCUUAUUUUUUUUAGUUUGACGUGAUUUAAUUAAGUGCGGUUUUUUUAAGGUCAAAGUUAAUCUAGUCCCAUUCUGCCCAGACAUCACACUGGUUCUUCAUUUUUUUUUUAUUUUGAUCACAGGUUUGAUUGAGUUUGUGGUUAGACAAUUCCUUUUUUUAUAUUGUUGUUUUGAUUCUGUUGAGCAUUGCCCCUAAGCAAUAAAUUUUGGAAUUUCA